ACUGACGCCAAUGACAUUUUUCUAUACUCAAUAUUUUAGAGGCAAUUCGGUCUGUGCCUAAAAAGUACUGAAUCCAGUACCCAGCCCUACUCAUUGG